rnacentral:rRNA from 1 species
AUUGAACGCUGGCGGCAGGCCUAACACAUGCAAGUCGAGCGGAUGAAGGGAGCUUGCUCCUGGAUUCAGCGGCGGACGGGUGAGUAAUGCCUAGGAAUCUGCCUGGUAGUGGGGGAUAACGUCCGGAAACGGGCGCUAAUACCGCAUACGUCCUGAGGGAGAAAGUGGGGGAUCUUCGGACCUCACGCUAUCAGAUGAGCCUAGGUCGGAUUAGCUAGUUGGUGGGGUAAAGGCCUACCAAGGCGACGAUCCGUAACUGGUCUGAGAGGAUGAUCAGUCACACUGGAACUGAGACACGGUCCAGACUCCUACGGGAGGCAGCAGUGGGGAAUAUUGGACAGUGGGCGAAAGCCUGAUCCAGCCAUGCCGCGUGUGUGAAGAAGGUCUUCGGAUUGUAAAGCACUUUAAGGUGGGAGGAAGGGCAGUAAGUUAAUACCUUGCUGUUUUGACGUUACCAACAGAAUAAGCACCGGCUAACUUCGUG